GAAACUCCCUGAUUCUUCAGUGCUCAGCCAUGACCUUCGUGUUCAUCUUGACGCUUGGGGUGCUUCUGUUCCUAAGAGGAACCGGAGCCCAGGCGGUGACCCAGCCUGAUGCCCAUGUCGCUGUCCCUGAAGAAUCCCCUCUGGAGCUGAGGUGCAACUACUCUUCUCUUCGGCCCUAUCUCUACUGGUACAUGCAGUACCCCAACCAAGGCCUCCAGCUUCUCCUCCAGUACGGAUCAGGGAACACCAAGGUUCAAGGUAUCAAAGGUUUCAAGGCUGAAUUUAAGGACAGUGAAACCUCUUUCCACCUGAAGAAACCCUCAGCCCAUUGGAGCGACUCAGCUGUGUACUUCUGCGCUUUAGAGGAAGACAGCAACUAUCGGUUGAUCUGGGGCUCUGGGACCAAGCUAAUUAUAAAGCCAGAUGUCAAGGAGCCUGACCCCGCUGUGUACCAGCUGGGAGGCUCUAAGUCCAAUCAGAUCUCAGUCUGCCUGUUCACCGACUUUGAUUCUGAAACCAAUGUGCAAGAACCGCAGGGGCCUGCGGUGAUCAGCUUGAACAGUACGGUGCUGGACAUGAAGGUGAUGAAUUCCAAGAGCAACGCGGCCCUGGCCUGGGGCAACAGCACCGAUUUUAAAUGCAAUGGUACCUUCAACGAGAAAUUCUUCUCCAGCUCCGACUUUUCCUGUGAUGCCACUUUGAUAGCGAAAAACUUUGAAACCGAUAUGAACCUAAACUUCCACAACCUGAUAGUGAUCGGGCUGCGCAUCCUCCUCCUGAAAGUGGCCGGGUUUAACCUGUUCAUGACGCUGCGGCUGUGGUCCCGCUGAGGUCACCAAGACCGUGAGAGAGCCCGGCACCCCCUCGCUCCCGACUCCCCACCCUACCUGCCUCCCCAGAGAGGCAGACCCUCUGCCCCCGUGGACAAGAAGGCUCCCUCCGCUUCUCUGGCCCCACUGGCAACAGCCAUCAACUGGAUCCCACCAGAUAGUCAUGAUCAAGAUGCUGAAGAGCUGCCGAACACUGCCUCCGCCCCCUCGGUUCCCUCCCUGCUGCCUGUCACGGGCCGGACACUCCGGCGAAGGCAGGGGGCUGCUACGGAGAGACACCCUGCCCCUACCCUGAGACCAACUCUUCCGUCCCCGGGGUGAGGGAUCCCCGGCGGGUCCUCUUGGCCUCUGCCUCCUGGAGAACAUUGUGAGGAGUUUGUAUUUUUUAAAUAGUGUUCAUCAGGAAAUAUGUAUCACCCUUUUUCCCCAAGAUGUGGGGGAAAGUAUUAUGGAGGCCCUGCUGUGCUGUGUGUCUGAGCCACGUUGUAUAUUCUGCUGCCCGUGGCUUCAUUAAAGGCAAUUUGAAAGAGC